rnacentral:rRNA from 1 species
GGUUAAAAAGCUCGUAGUUGGAUCUCGGCGGGCAGGGGGUGGUUCGCUCUUCAGCGCUACUGCCCCGCUUUGCCCGUGUGAUUGGCGGAGGUUUCGGGGUGCUCUUCGUUGAGUGACUCGGAGCGCCGUCAGGUUUACUUUGAAAAAAUUAGAGUGCUCAAAGCAGGCUUUUCACGCUUGAAUAUUCGUGCAUGGAAUAAUGGAAUAGGAACUCGUUUCUAUUUUGUUGGUUUUCGGAAAUCGAGUUAAUGAUUAACAGGGACAAUUGGGGGCAUUAGUAUUCAGACGACAGAGGUGAAAUUCUUGGACCGUCUGAAGACUGACUACUGCGAAAGCAUUUGCCAAGAGUGUUUUCAUUAAUCAAGAACGAAAGUUAGAGGUUCGAAGGCGAUCAGAUACCGCCCUAGUUCUAACCAUAAACGAUGCCAGCUAGCGAUCUGCCGAGUUUUUUUUGUAGGCUCCGCAGGAAGCUUUCGGGAAACCAAAGCUUUUGGGUUCCGGGGGAAGUAUGGUUGCAAAGCUGAAACUUAAAGGAAUUGACGGAAGGGCACCACCAGGAGUGGAGCCUGCGGCUUAAUUUGACUCAACACGGGAAAUCUCACCAGGCCCGGACACUGGAAGGAUUGACAGAUUGAGAGCUCUUUCUCGAUUCGGUGGGUGGUGGUGCAUG